ACGUCAAAUCAUCAUGCCCCUUAUGUCCUGGGCUACACACGUACUACAAUGGCGAAUACAAAGGGAAGCAAAACCGCGAGGUGGAGCAAAUCCCCAAAAUUCGUCCCAGUUCGGAUUGCAGGCUGCAACUCGCCUGCAUGAAGUCGGAAUUGCUAGUAAUGGCAGGUCAGCAUACUGCCGUGAAUACGUUCCCGGGCCUU
rnacentral:rRNA from 1 species